GCCCAUUUGGCGCAAUGGUUAGCGCACCUGACUUCUAUGAGCUUCUCCCAGAGAUGACCUGGUCAUCAGGAGGCUGUCGGUUCGAGUCCGACAAUGGGUG